rnacentral:rRNA from 1 species
GACGAACGCUGGCGGCGUGCUUAAAACAUGCAAGUCGAACGGACUUCUCAUGAAGCUUGCGAUUGAGAAGUUAGUGGCGGACGGGUGAGUAACGCGUGGGCAACCUGCCCCUGAGCCCGGGAUAACAGUUCGAAAGGACUGCUAAGACCGGAUAUACUUGCGGUGAAGCAUUUCACUGCAAGGAAAGGGAACGCUCAGGGAUGGGCCCGCGUCCCAUUAGCUAGUUGGUGAGGUAACGGCCCACCGAGGCGACGAUGGGUAGCCGGCCUGAGAGGGUGAACGGCCACACUGGGACUGAGACACGGCCCAGACUCCUACGGGAGGCAGCAGUUGGGAAUCUUCGGCAAUGGGCGCAAGCCUGACCGAGCAACGCCGCGUGAGUGAUGAAGGUUUUCGGAUUGUAAAGCUCUGUCUUCCGGGACGAUAAUGACGGUACCGGAGGAGGAAGCCACGGCUAACUACGUG